UAGGGAAUAUUGCUUAAUGGGCGAAAGCCUGAAGCAGCAACGCCGCGUGUGCGAUGAAGGCCUUCGGGUUGUAAAGCACUUUUUGAGGGGAUGAGGAAGGACAGUACCCUCAGAAUAAGUCUCGGCUAACUACGUGCCAGCAGCCGCGGUAAAACGUAGGAGGCGAGCGUUAUCCGGAUUUACUGGGCGUAAAGCGCGUGCAGGCGGCUCGAAAAGUUGGAUGUGAAAGCUCCUGGCUUAACUGGGAGAGGUCGUUCAAUACUUUCGGGCUUGAGGAUGGGAGAGGGAGGUGGAAUUCCGGGUGUAGUGGUGAAAUGCGUAGAUAUCCGGAGGAACACCAGUGGCGAAGGCGGCCUCCUGGCCCAUUUCUGACGCUCAGACGCGAAAGCUAGGGUAGCAAACG
rnacentral:rRNA from 2 species